ensembl:snRNA U6 U6 spliceosomal RNA
AUGCAGAGGGCCUAGCACAUAUGCUAAAAUUGGAACGAUACAGAGAAGAUUAGCAUGGCCCCUGCGCAAGGUUGACCCAUAAAUUCGUGAAGCAUUUAUGUAUAAAUUU